AGUGGACCGCUGUGCGCGAACCCUGAACCCUACGGUCCCGACCCGCGGGCGAGGCCGGGUACCUGGGCUGGGAUCCGGAGCAAGCGGGCGAGGGCAGCGCCCUAAGCAGGCAUCCCCGCAGGCCCGGAGCGAUGGCAGCCUUGAUGACCCCGGGAACCGGGGCCCCACCCGCGCCUGGUGACUUCUCCGGGGAAGGGAGCCAGGGACUUCCCGACCCUUCGCCAGAGCCCAAGCAGCUCCCGGAGCUGAUCCGCAUGAAGCGAGACGGAGGCCGCCUGAGCGAAGCGGACAUCAGGGGCUUCGUGGCCGCUGUGGUGAAUGGGAGCGCGCAGGGCGCACAGAUCGGUGCGUGGGGAGGGUUGGGCGUUCCUGACCCCGACUGGGAGGUCAGCCCGAGAGACUUUGGGUCCCUGGGGGUGCGACGGUGCCCCACUACCAGCACCGGCCCCAGGGUGCCCCACCGCUGUGGGCUGCCACCCUCACGCGUACCCCCACAUACCAGGGGCCAUGCUGAUGGCCAUCCGACUUCGGGGCAUGGAUCUGGAGGAGACCUCGGUGCUGACCCAGGCCCUGGCUCAGUCGGGACAGCAGCUGGAGUGGCCAGAGGCCUGGCGCCAGCAGCUUGUGGACAAGCAUUCCACAGGGGGUGUGGGUGACAAGGUCAGCCUGGUCCUCGCACCUGCCCUGGCGGCAUGUGGCUGCAAGGUUAGAAACCACCUCCUUUCCAGACGGGAGCCUAUACCGCACAUGCAGCAACCAGUCCAUCCACAGGCAGCUCCCAACCUCAAGCCUGGCCCAAAGCCUCCAAGACCCUACCAAGGCUUCUCCCCACCCUGCUCCCCAGCACAGUUCUCCCCACCCCGUUCCCCAGCACAGCGCUUGGGGCCCCUCUGGCUCCAGACCAGGCCCCUUGGAGCAGGAAAAAGAUCCACUGAUGGAAUUCAGACCCCUUUCCCCUUGGGUCCCCAGACAGCUCCCCCAAGGGAGGAGCUGAGGACUUUCCUCCCUCUGCCCCAAGCCUUGUUUCCCCAAGGACAGGUACCAACCUCCUCCCCUACUGACACUUCUCAACCAAGAAAACUUCCUUUCCAUUCCCUCACCAGCUGGGCACCCCUAUAGCUGCUUAAAUACUUUCCAAAUCCAGCUGCACUCCUAGCCAGGGAAGGUGAAGGGAUGCACAGAGGUGGGGGAGGGGUACUGUGCAGGGUACUCAGCAUCCCUGACCACCAGGUGCCAAUGAUCAGCGGACGUGGUCUGGGGCACACAGGAGGCACCUUGGAUAAGCUGGAGUCUAUUCCUGGAUUCAAUGUCAUCCAGAGCCCAGAGCAGGUACGGGGCGCCACGGAUCAGUCAUUAAUCCAGGUUGAUGAUGGAGACCCUGGCCAGAAUCACUAAAAGAUCACUGGUGGAUCAUUAGGGUCACUAAUGAGAACACUGGUCAAGGUUACUCAUGAGUCACUGGGCCUGGGCCGAAAUCAUCAGUGGAACUUUGAUUAGGAUCAUAAAAUGGGAAGUUGGUCAAAAUCACAGAUGGCUGGCGGGGCACGGUGGCUCACACCUGUAGUCCUAGCACUUGGGGAGGCCGAAGAGGGCAGAUCCCUUGAACCCAGGAGUUCAAAACCAGCCUGGAUAACACGGCAAAACCCCAUCUCUACAAAAUAGUUCGCUGCGUGUGGUGGUGCACGCAUGUGGUUCCAGCUACUCAGGAGGCUGAGGCAGGAGGAUCACUUGAGCCUGGGAGGUCUAGGCUGCAGUGAGCCGGGACGAUGCCACUGCACUCCAGCCUGGGCAACAGAGUGAGACCCUGUCCCAGCACUCUGGGAGGCAGAGGAGCCCAGUUGGAGAUCAGCCUGGGUAAUAUAGUGAAACUUGAUCUCUACAAAAAAAAGAAGAAAAAAAAAAGCCGCGUGUGGUGGUGCGCACCUGUAGUCCCAGCUACUGGGAAGCUGAGGUGGGAGGAUCACUUAAGCCCAGGAGGCAGAGGUCACAAUGAGCCGAAAUUGUGCCAACUGCACUCCAGCCUGGGCAACAGAGGAAGACUCUUCACAG
rnacentral:lncRNA from 1 species